rnacentral:rRNA from 1 species
UCCCGAGGUAUUAACCCAGACCGUUUCCUUCCGACAAAAGCAUUUUACAACCCUAAGGCCUUCUUCCUUCACGCGGCAUUGCUGGAUCAGGCUUGCGCCCAUUGUCCAAAAUUCCCCACUGCUGCCUCCCGUAGG